rnacentral:rRNA from 1 species
AGUGAACGCUGGCGGUAGGCCUAACACAUGCAAGUCGAACGGCAGCACAGUAAGAGCUUGCUCUUACGGGUGGCGAGUGGCGGACGGGUGAGGAAUACAUCGGAAUCUACUUUUUCGUGGGGGAUAACGUAGGGAAACUUACGCUAAUACCGCAUACGACCUACGGGUGAAAGCAGGGGAUCUUCGCACCUUGCGCGAUUGAAUGAGCCGAUGUCGGACUAGCUAGUUGGCGGGGUAAAGGCCCACCAAGGCGACGAUCCGUAGCUGGUCUGAGAGGAUGAUCAGCCACACUGGAACUGAGACACGGUCCAGACUCCUACGGGAGGCAGCAGUGGGGAAUAUUGGACAAUGGGCGCAAGCCUGAUCCAGCCAUACCGCGUGGGUGAAGUAGGCCUUCGGGUUGUAAAGCCCUUUUGUUGGGAAAGAAAAGCAGCAGGUUAAUACCCCGCUGUUCUGACGGUACCCAAAGAAUAAGCACCGGCUAACUUCGUG